GAAAGAGCUCACAGUCCCAUAGCAACAGCUGAGUGGAUCUACAGUAACAGAGCUGCUAGUAAAAUAUGCGUUUGGGUGUGGAUCCAUAUUCAGAGGAACAUUUCAAACUGGGCUUUCAUUCAACUCAUAUGAAUCCUCAGGGAGCCCUGCUGAAAGACUUGAAUGUCUGAAUGAGAGCAGAAAAACAUAUUGGCGUGUGAUGAAUGAGAGGAGGAAGCAUGCGGCAGUGAUGGAGUGUGCUGCAGAUGGAAGCAUGUACGUCCACAGCGAGCAGAGGAAAAACUGUCAGUCCAAACCCUUUCAUGAGAGCACAGCGUUCACUUUGUUUCCACCAAGACCACGGUCCUAUGGGCUUUCCUCCAGAGGCUCUGAACCCCAGGGCCUGCAAGUGCAGGGAUUCUGCUGUGCCCUCCAGCAGAGGCCCAGCAGUGGGCGGGCAACACACAGGGUGACUCCACAGAGCACAGGGGGUGGAGAUGGGAGCCUGAUAAUGCUGAGCAGUCUCAAGGGAAGGCUGGAGAGCAGAGCCAAACCAGCAUCAAAGUCCAGGACUGGGAGCAGGCCUGAGAUGACCCCAUCAGGCGGAGCAGCUCCCACUGUGUGCCAUCACAGAGAUCCAGUCAGUGAAACAGCAGAAACUCCCACUCCCACCUGCAACAACGAGAUGAAAACUCAGCAUGGACAGCCCGGCGCCGCAAAGGUUUCACAACUCCAUCUGUAUCUGCCUUCAUCACUCUGUGAUGAUGAGGAGCAGGAGGCUGAGACAGAGGAGAUGAGGUAUGACUUCCUAGCAUUGCGAGUCAUCGGAGAGCAGCCAACUGCAUCCUUUUCAUCAACUGUUCCUUUGACAGUAUCUUUCACGUCACAUCUGUGGUUUUCACCCUUCUUUCCAAAAACUUGGAACAGAGCUCCAAAACAGGUCUCAGAAGUGAUGUCAGUUGGAGGGUGGGGAGACAAAAAAUAUUUUCCCAAGCAAUUAGAGCAACUGCAGUGUACGCAAAGCCAUGCCCACUGGGUCUAA
rnacentral:lncRNA from 1 species